rnacentral:tRNA from 1 species
GCCAAAGUAGCUCAGUUGGUAGAGCAACUGAUUUGUAAUCAGUAGGUCGGGGGUUCGACUCCCUUCUUUGGCU